rnacentral:rRNA from 1 species
UUGUUUGCCUAUAAAACCUAAUACAACUUUCAACAACGGAUCUCUUGGCUCUCGCAUCGAUGAAGAACGCAGCGAAAUGCGAUAAGUAAUGUGAAUUGCAGAAUUCAGUGAAUCAUCGAAUCUUUGAACGCACCUUGCGCUCCUUGGUAUUCCGAGGAGC